UUGAUCCGUACUGCCUGAUGGAGGGGGAUAACUACUGGAAACGGUAGCUAAUACCGCAUAACGUCGCAAGACCAAAGAGGGGGACCUUCGGGCCUCUUGCCAUCAGAUGUGCCCAGAUGGGAUUAGCUAGUAGGUGGUAAUGGCUCACCUAGGCGACGAUCCCUAGCUGGUCUGAGAGGAUGACCAGCCACACUGGAACUGAGACACGGUCCAGACUCCUACGGGAGGCAGCGGAUCGUAAGUGGGGAAUAUUGCACAAUGGGCGAAAGCCAUGCAGCCAUGCCGCGUGUGUGAAGAAGGCCUUCGGGUUGUAAAGCACUUUCAGCGAGGAGGAAGGUGGUGAACUUAAUACGUUCAUCAAUUGACGUUACUCGCAGAAGAAGCACCGGCUAACUCCGUGCCAGCAGCGGUAAUACGGAGGGUGCAAGCGUUAAUCGGAAUUACUGGGCGUAAAGCGCACGCAGGCGGUUUGUUAAGUCAGAUGUGAAAUCCCCGGGCUCAACCUGGGAACUGCAUUUGAAACUGGAUCAUGGGCAAGCUAGAGUCUCGUAGAGGGGAGAAUUCCAGGUGUAGCGGUGAAAUGCGUAGAGAUCUGGAGGAAUACCGGUGGCGAAGGCGGCCCCCUGGACGAAGACUGACGCUCAGGUGCGAAAGCGUGGGGAGCAAACAGGAUUAGAUACCCUGGUAGUCCACGCUGUCGAUGUCGAUUUGGAGGUUGUGCCCUUGAGGCGUGGCUUCCGGAGCUAACGCGUUAAAUCGACCGCCUGGGGAGUACGGCCGCAAGGUUAAAACUCAAAUUUGACGGGGGCCUUUAGUCCGCACAAGCGGUGGAGCAUGUGGUUUAAUUCGAUGCAACGCGAAGAACCUUACUUAGUCUACUCUUGACGUCCAGAGAACUUUCCAGAGAUGGAUUGGUGCCUUCGGGAACUCUGAGACAGGUGCUGCAUGGCUGUCGUCAGCAUCUCGUGUUGUGAAAUGUUGGGUUAAGUCCCGCAACGAGCGCAACCCUUAUCCUUUGUUGCCAGCGGUUCGGCCGGGAACUCAAAGGAGACUGGGAUCU
rnacentral:rRNA from 1 species